CCGUGAGGGGUUCAUUAAAUUAUUUAUUUUUAUGGGUGAGAGUCAUGAUUAGUACCUUUUGUAUUAGUGAGAUUUAAUUUAAUUAUUUAUUUAUUUGGUCCCGAAAUUAUGAGGGCUAAAAAAAUUAUAGGGAUUGUUGAAAUAAUUUUAUAAAAAAUUUUUUUAGGGGUGAAAUGCCAUUCGUUCAUUAAAAUAUCUGGUUUAAUUUUUUAAGUUUAGCUUUGUUUAUUUAUGUUAUAAGUGUAUUAUUACUUUUUUAUAUGAAUAAAUUAUUGUCAAAGGGGUUAGCUUUUGUUUUUAUCUUUUUUAAAACAUUUAAUUUAUUUAUUAAAAAAGCAGGCUUGAAAACAGCUUUCGUAUGGUAAGUUAUAUUUACUAAAGAUUUAUUUGUAUAAUUUAUUUUGUGUUUAAUUUUUUAAUUAAAUGAUUUUUAUUCGGUUUAAGUCAAAAAUACUAAUUCUAUGAGUAAGUUAUUUAUGUUAAAAAAAAAUUAAAAAAAAAUUAYUACUAAAAAAUUCGACAAGAUAAAUUUCGACUGUUUAACAAAAACAUUUUUUUACGGUUGUUUGUAAAGUAUAACCUGCCCACUGAGUAUAUUAAAGGGCCGCGGUAUUUUGACCGUGCAAAGGUAGCAUAAUCAUUAGUCUCUUAAUUAGGGAAUUGUAUGAAUGGUAUUACGUAGUUUAUUUUUUUUAGUGGUAUAGUCUUAAUUUGAAUUUAAAGUGAAAAUGCUUUAAUAUAAUUAUAGACGAUAAGACCCUAUAGAGUUUUAUUUAUUUACAUUAAAUAAAAAUGUUACAUGUUAUUUAAAUAAAAAUAAAUUUUAUUGGGGCAAUAAAAGAAUAAAAUUAACUUCUUAUAAAAUAGUUUGACAUAAUGUAAUAACUUGAUUUUUAAAUUUGGUAAGAAAUUACCUUAGGGAUAACAGCGUUAUUAAAAUUAAGAGUUCUUAUCGACAUUUUAGAUUGCGACCUCGAUGUUGAAUUAAAAAUUCUUUAGGGGGUAGAUUUUCUAUGGGAUAGUCUGUUCGACUAUAAAAUUUUUACAUGAUUUGAGUUCAAAUCGGCGUGAGCCAGGUUGGUUUCUAUCUUAAUUAAAUUUAAAAUUUGUUUAGUACGAAAGGACCGA
rnacentral:rRNA from 1 species